UUCACUGGAAGAAUUAAGCAGUCUGAAAGGAGGGUAAGAUUAUGAAGAUAAAUGUUUACCUCUCCACUGCAUUGUAUCUCUGGAAAUGAAACUGUUUUUUGAAUGGUGCUGCAUCGCUCCUGCAAGAAUGUGGGCAUUGUGAACAAAUUGACUGUCUCCGAUGAUUUGACACAUUUUGAUUUCUGCUUAGGAAAAUAUCUGUUAAUCCUAUUACAAAGAGGAGAGGGUCCUGAGCAGGAAUGUAAAGGAUCAAAUCCUUCCCCAUCCUGUGCAUACCCUCCCAAUGCCAAGGUAUUAAAACUCCCAGCUAUUUCCAAAAGACCUGUGCUGCAUCCCUGACCUGCCUGGCGUUACAUCAAAAUCCCUUCUCCACCUACCUAUCCUCGCCUGGCACUGGCCUAAAUCAGGACAAGACUGAACAGCCACCCUCUCUCUGCAAUGCUAAAGCAGAAAAGAGACCUCAGUGAAUGCUUCUCUCUUAAUGCAACUUUUCUUCCUCCCUCUCCUUUCCAUCCAUCUUCCUACUCUCCCUUUCUUCCCUCCCCAUCCAUCCCUUCCUUUCUCCUUUAUGUGCUUUGCUGUUUGCUAAUAUACAACCCCAGGCUCCUCUUUGUGUCUGGCAAAAGAAGCAGUUUUAUUGUUGGGUAACUCCAGGGGGGAUAUGGUGUCUAUGAUGUUGUCUGGGCCCAGCCUCCCCGGGGAAGGGUAACCACCUCCAUCCUGCUCUCAAAGGGCAAGGGCUGGCAACUGCACCCUUGGGUAACAGCCGAGCUCUUCAGCCAGAAAGUGCACCUGUUCCUGCCCAGAACUACCGUCUCUUCCCAUUAUGGUGUGAUUCACGGUUGCAGUGCAACCAUGGGGGCUGGGAACAGUUAUCUGAAAUUUGAAUUUAUGGAGAGCAACCAAGGAAAAAGGGAAAUAGAAACUAUUCCACCCCCACCCCCCCAACCACUUGCUGCAAAAGGUUCUUCAUGGAGCAAACAUCUACGUCUGAUCAAAGGUCUGUUCAUUUGUCUCAAGAGCCAAUGCUGGAACCCAGCAUGGAGCUAAAAAUAUGACUCACAGUCCUGGAAAAUUGCAUUCAUUAAACUCUACCUACAGGUCCUCACCCCGAAUCUGCUCUCUGCCAAAGCAGCGUGCUGCUGGUAAUCCUCCUUUAUAGAUUAGGCAAGAAAAUAAAGAGGGUGGGGCUGAAAUGCAGGGGAAGUCUGCACACUUGUUUGGAAAAGAAGAAAAGGAAAGGCACAGGGAUUUCUCCUUCUCUCCUUCAUGUUGCGAGUUGCCAGGGUUGUCCAGACACCACUGGGAGACACAGGGCUUUUCAGGGUUCUCAGUGUUUGCGCUUGCAUGGGAUGAGAGCUACAUGUAAAGUGGGACUUUAGAAGCCAGAUCAAAUACUCGCCUCUCAAACCCUGGCAGCUGUUAUUCCUGAACUCCUCCUUGCUUCGUGUGUUAAGGAGGAAGCGAUCAUCACAGCUGACAUUGCGGAGCCCUUACUGUGUGCCCAGCACUUUGGUGCGCUAUUAUGCAACCUCACUUCAUUCUUCUAAAGCUCCCUGUGAGGCAGGCACUGGUGUCUCUGCCAUUGUGAAGAUGAUGAUGUCACAGUUUAGAAAGGUGGAGGAACUUGAGUAAGUGGCACAGCCGGGAUUUGAACCUGAAGCUUCCAAAGCCUUGCUCUUCUCAUCCCUGCCUCAGUGCCAUCUCUAAGUGGUUCCCUCAAAAGUGUGUUUCAAGGUUUUCAUUUAAGAUUUUGGCAACUGCUCCUUGAUAAUAGUUCUGCUAUUAUCUUAAUCUUUACAAUUUUCUGCAAUCAAAUCAUAGGGUUGCUUGAAGGUAGAGACUGUUUCUCCCUCACCUUUGCCUCCCCUGCAGCUCUUAAAACAAAGUAUCUCACACAAAACAGGAGCUGAACAAUUAUUUGUUGAAACGCACUUUCCAUUAUCUCUGUAUCUAAAUAAAGCCUAUCUAAAGGAGUCCACUUCCCCAACACUGGGAUUUUCCUCUUCUUUGUAGCCAUCCCCUUCUUCUUGUUUUGUUUUCGAAAGGUUGAUUUUGAACUGGAGGGACACUGCAGUUGUCUUGUCACUUAGCGUGAUUUGAGAGUGAGAGUCUGUGUAGUGCUCUAGCCUGCCCUCAGCAAUCAGGCCGCACACUCACGAGGCUCUGAUUGUAGGAGUUGCCUCAUUUGCAUUGAUGAGGAUGAGCCAGCUGCUGGCGCAUACAGGACUGCACCUGACACAAUCACCACGUUCAGGAUUAGCACGGGGAAUCAGGAAUCCACUGCGCUGCAUGGCAAUCUCAGCCCCACAUUAGAGUCACUCAUGCAAAAUGACCCAAAUUUGCAAUGAGCACAAUUAGCAACCCAAAGAUGCAUGUUAAUUUGGGGGCCUGAUAUUUCCCUACAUUUCCUUAAAUUAAAAAUAAUAAAUACACACUUUUCCUAGAUGAGUUUGAACAUGAAAACAAUUCAAGGGAUUAUGGGUUUGUAAAAAAUGUGCAAACCUCAGGAAACGUGGAUUUCCUAGGAUAACUAGCCAACAUCUCUCUCCCACCCCCAAGGUAUUAAGUUUGGCAUCACAUAGGGUAGGGGGUUUAUGGUGUCAUGCCCCUUUCUAAGUCAAUAGAAAACAGCUAUUUACAAAGAUAAAAUAAUAAAAGCAACAAUAGCUAUAAUAGAGGGUCAAGAAAAAUCCAAGCUUAAAAAAGGAUUUGGCAUUUUAUAUUAUGUAUUAAUAUUUCUGAAGCUAUGUUUGGAUCACACACAACCAUACAUCGCCUUAGUUAUUUUAGGAUGUUCUAAAAAGUACAAGAGAUUGUGCUAAAUUUUUGUUAAACAGAGUUUAUAAAUCAAACUGGACAUUCUCAAACCCUGGGCUGUGUGUUUCCAUAUGUUUGCAGCCUAUAGGUAUUGAAAUGUUCACCUUACACUUUAGGAAGAAAAAAAAAACCACAAAUUGCAAAAAUUGAAUAAAUGAUCAUUCGAAGCAAAAGCAUGCAGUUCAAAAGCUAAACCUCCCAUUGGAGAACAGAAAAUUUAAUGAGCUUUUAAUGGAAUGCAAUGCUCAGAGUAGUAAAUUAUUUGUUAGUUGACGAUGCAAUCAGCAUGCUGAUUAAGGUUGCUUGGUUUUUUACUAAACAUUAACUGAAUGAAAACGGGUAGUCCUUGUUCUGCUUGGGGGGCUUUCAGGAAGCAAAUGGACUUUCAGAACAGAGAUUGUCAAUAAAGCAUGCAAGAUUUUUUCUCAUAGAAUGCAAGAUUAAUGACAGGAUCAUCAGUAGUCUGGGGACGUCGUGGAAGGAGAUGUUCAGGAACAUGACCAGAACCAUGAGCGAUCCUCAGGCCACUCAUGUGAAGCUCAAGGAUUCACCACCUGUUCCUCCUACUCCUAUCAAAUUCCUUGGAACUGAUGCUCCUUUCAAGGAUGCAAUGAGGAGCAGACAUCUAAUCUCACUGCACACAAGAAGCGCAAAGGGGAGGGCCACUGCCAGUGAUAUUCAAUGACUGCACUUACUACAGAGGCUGUCUACAGGCUGCUCGUGGGAUUCUCACAGAACCCUGGGAGUCCUUGGGUCAUUCUUGGAGGACCACUUCUCCAUUGUGCUUGAUUCUGGUAUCUUCUGGAGAGUGAAUGUCUGGGGAUUAACUGGAAAGUUCCACUUGUACAGAGGCCAAAGAUGGAAACUCGAGGUGAGCAACUACAGGGAAACUUCACAAAAGCCUCAGGCUAAUAUGCUCACAUCGUACCCACUAGAUUGCCGGGAAAUGAUUUGGGGUCAGUGCUGUUGGCUGAAUGUCUAUGUCCACCCCCGAUUAGAAUACUGAGUCCACCCCACCCCCCACUCUGUCUCUCUCUGUCUCUCUCUCUCUCUUCAAGCAAGCACCAAGGAAAGGUCCUGUGAGGACAGAGCAUGAAUGCGACAUCUGCAGGCCAGGAAGAGAGCUCUCAACAGAACUGACUCAGCUAGCACCUUGAUCUUGAACUUCCCAGACUCCAACAGUGUGAAGAAAUAGACUUCUUUGAAGCCACCCAGUCUCUGUUAUUUUGUUAUAGCAGCCUGAGCAGACUAAUACUCUCAGAAUAGCGUUUUCUUCUGGACAGUGUAAAGUUGCUUUUUUAUCAUAUGUGAUAUUCAGCAUUCCUGCCUUAUACACACACUUUAUAAGAGAUACUAAAUCAUUUUUUGGAUUACUUUUCAAGAAGCCUGAAAUGAGCUUGGAUUUUCUAUGACUUUGACUGGUAAAUAUUCAAUAGAGAGAAAGUCUACCUUACUUUAAGUUUCCAUUUUUCCCCUUAGAAAGCGUAUUUACCAGUCUAUAUUCUCAAAUUUAGUCACCACUGUAAUACUCUCUGGUUGGGCACAUGCAUAAAACACUGACACACACACUGCACAUCCUGCCCUACCAUGCCAUAAACUUUAGGAGUUUGCUAUUCUAAGUGCCACUGGUUGAAAUUCUGAUUUUAGAAUAUAAUGAAACAAACUGAGAAAUCCUUAGAUUUUUAUUUUAUCCAGGCACCCACCAAGAGAUGUGAGCUUAAUUUGAAAAAAGGUGCUGAUAUGGACUAGAUUUCCAUAUAGCAAGAUUUAUUCAUGAAUGAGAUGCCAAGAAAGAGCCAGGAGGGUACCAUGUGGGAUUCUGUUUUUGUUUGUUUGUUUGUUUGUUUUUUUAAGAUUUAUUUUAUCUAUUUGAAAGACAGAGUUAAAGAGAGAGGUAGAAACAGAGAUAGAGGUCUUCCAUCUGCUGGUUUAUUCCCCAUUUGGCCUCAACAGGUGGAGCUGCACCAAUCCAAAGCCAGGAGCCAGGAGCUUCCUCUGGGACUCCCAUGAGGGUGCAGGGGCCCAAAGACUUGGGCCAUCUUCUACUGCUAUCCCAGGCCAUAGCAGAGAGCUGGAUCAGAAGAGAGCAGCCGGGACUAGAACCGGUGCCCAUAUGGGAUGCCGGCGCUUCAGGCCAGGUCUUUAACCCACUGUCCCACAGCGCCAGCCCCAGGAUUCUGUUAAAAGAGGGUUACAAACCUACAGGCCAGCGCUGCAGCUCACUAGGCUAAUCCUCUGCCUUGUGGCGCUGGCACACUGGGUUCUAGUUCCGGUCGGGGCGCCGGAUUCUGUCCCGGUUGCCCCUCUUCCAGGCCAGCUCUCUGCUGUGGCCAGGGAGUGCAGUGGAGGAUGGCCCAAGUGCUUGGGCCUUGCACCCGAUGGGAGACCAGGAUAAGUACCUGGCUCCUGCCAUUGGAUCAGCGCGGUGCGCCAGCCGCAGCACACCAGCCACAACGGCCAUUGGAGGGUGAACCAAUGGCAAAGGAAGACCUUUCUCUCUGUCUCUCUCUCUCACUGUCCACUCUGCCUGUCAAAAAUAAAAAAUAAAAAAAAUUUACAAUUCUUAAGUUCUUUAUGAGAUUUUCAGACUUCUGUGAUAAUUAUUGUUAUGUAUAUGCAAGAAAAGUUACCAUCUUUUUAUUUCAGAAAAACAUGAUUUUUAUCCUUAAAGUAGAUUAGGAAUUAAAUCAUAGAGUCACAAUGCAAAAUCGUUUUUGUUUUUCAGGUCAGUGAUGGGCUAAGUAACUUCAGUUUGUAUUGAGUUUUAUUCCUAGAAGUCUAAACUGUUUGAACUGCAUUGACUAAGGAAGGACUAGUUUUUAGAGGUUAGUAGAAGGGAGUUGGACAAUAUUGCCCAGGCUUGACUCCUGACCUCACUAGUUAACUAUACAGCCUUGGAGACCUUGGGCAAACUCUCUGUGGCAGUUUCCUCACCUGUAACAAGAGGGGGUGAUAGGUGGGUUGUAAGGAUUAAAUUACUACUUGUUAUAGGCAAUAAUGGAAUGUAAGUGUUUACUAUUGCUAGUAAAGUAUUUCACAAUGAUAAAUAGAGGUUCAGAAGGGAAAAAAUGAGAAAUACAUAAUGCAUGGCACAACCAAGUAGAGGAGGUCUUUCUGACACAUUCUGUCCCCUCCAAGAGCCAUUGUUAACUUUAAAUGUUAUUCUAUCUUCCUGAUUGAGGCAUUUUUCUUUAAUAAUACCUGAAGGCAAUGUUUUUGAUACUUAAAGAUAAUCACAAAGCUGAUUAAGGAACGCUAAGAACUGAAGUAACCACCUAUGCUUUUUUGCCUUCACCUUCAUUAUGCAGGCAUCUACAGUCUUCAAAGCUGAAUUUGAAUAUUUAACCUGCAUGGGUUUAGCUAUUGGGCCAUUUGACCAUUCUUUCCUAAUUUACUACACACUUGGACUGUCAUCCUUCUACCUUGUCACCUACUCCUCUUGUUCUUUCUGUUGCUUACUCUAAUCCCACCUCCCAAACUCAGAGAGAUUUCUUUAAAGGAAUGCAUGACAUCCCGCCUCACCUAGUUGCUUAAGUCCAGCUCUCGUGCUGCUAACAUCACGCAUGCAUCAGUGGAGUAAUGACCAUGAUUUCCCGGCUGACUCCAGUGGAAAUGAGCACACAUGAUUCUUGACUAGAGUCUCUAAAUCAAGGAGGGGAACAGGGUUUUAUGGUAGGAUGCGCUGGUUUGAAGACACCGGUCUGCUCUUACUGCCUGAGAUCACAGACUAGCAGAAGAGAGAGCCAAAUAUCUUAGACCUGCACUGGUGACCUAGAUGUAAGUUCCAGCACCUGUUAAAUACCCCUGAGCGCUUCCAGCCCCUACUGAGUCCCUAACGAGAAUCCUCAUUGAUCCUUGAAAACAGAUGGUAAGGAGAAAAAAGAGCUUGCUGGAGACCAAGGGUGAACUGGAGACCUUCAGAAAAUCACUAGGAUCCUGGCCAAGCCUGCUCAGUGAGACCUUCUUUACAGAAUCCUUACUUUGUCAGAAUAACUUCCCAGAUGAUGCUUUGUUCAGAAACUGCUUGUUCAGCAGAAACUGGCUUGUUCACAAAAACUCAAGGAAAAGGGGAGGGGUGGGCUGGAGAUAUCAAUUUUCUAUCCACUGAUUCACUCCACAAAUGUCUGCAGUAGCUGAGGCUGUACCAGAGUGAAGCCUGCAGCCAAGAACUUCAGCUGGUCUCCAACAUGAGUGGCAGGAAUCCAAGUACUUAGGCCAUCACCUGCUGCCUCCCAGACACAUUAACAGGAAGUUGGACCAGAAGCAGAUCCGAUGGGACUCAAGCCAGCGCUCUGAUACGGAAUGCAGGCAUCCCAAGUGGUGGCUUAACCCACUGUGCCACAACACCCACCCCGAGAAAGUGGUUUGGAUAAUAAAUGGAAGAAGGGCCAAGAUGGUGAUUAAUCCUUACUUUCAUCCUUUCCUUUAUCCUUUCUCACUGAAACGUAAGCAAAAUGACAUAGAGAGUUUAAUGUGCUGUGUGGUGGGAAGAGCUCACACUGUCUUGGGAUCAAGAAGUACAUUCAAGGUUUCUCACCUAGAAAAGUCAUUUGUCUCUCUGGAUUUUGACAUCUACUCACAAGAGGGGGUAAUAGCAUCUAUGUUAUAGAAAUGUAAACAUUAAACAAAAUCUUUGUAUGCUUAGAAAUGUUGGGUACUACCUUCUUAUUUUAGUAGCAAUAAAUAAUUCUGAUGCUAUGGAUCUGAAUAAUUAAAGUACCAAAACAUUGUUUUCUAUUAA